rnacentral:rRNA from 1 species
UACGUAGGCAGCGAGCGUUGUUCGGAAUUACUGGGCGUAAAGAGUGUGUAGGCGGUGCUCUAAGUUCGGUGUGAAAUCUCUCGGCUUAACUGGGAGGGUGCGUCGGAAACUGGAGUGCUCGAACGUGGGAGAGGAAAGCGGAAUUCCUGGUGUAGCGGUGAAAUGCGUAGAUAUCAGGAGGAACACCUGCGGUGUAGACGGCUUUCUGGACCAUUGUUGACGCUGAGACACGAAAGCGUGGGUAGCAAACAGG